UGCUUACUUUUCUGAUGAGGCAACCAGAUCGAGAGAUUAAGUGACAUGCUAAAAACAGUCCUAAGCUGGUGAUUGACAAAACUGACAUUUCAACUCAGAGUUACCUGAUUUCAAAGCAGCUGAACUACUGCAACAAAUGAAGGGAAAGAAAGGUAGUGACUGCGCUUGGACAGAAUUGUGAGGGAGGCAAAAGUCAGUUUCGUGCUCUCAAGUCCUGGUCAACAGAAGCCUGUUUGGAAAGUAGUGUUCGAUGAGAAGAAGAAAGUCAGUUAAGGCCUCUCCUUAUUAAGAUUAAAGAUGACAGAAAAUGGCAGUCCUAGUUAAAACUGAUACCCGAUUCUAAGAAAAGGCGCAGUUGACAUGUUUAUCAUCUACCCAGAAUCUACUGCUUCAUAAUGGAAACCUCAGUGAGUGUCUUCCAAAUCUACGGAGCCAUGAAUAUUGGGAAGCAAAUGCCACUCUCAAUCCCAGAGAGAACUGAACAGAGCUCCCUGGCCAACCCAGCACAUGCCUCAGGGUAUUCACUGAAAAAGAAGACACUCCACUAAUCCUCAGAGGCAUAGAACAAAGGUAAAAGCCAUCACAGGGGGAAAAAAUAAACCAACAAGUAUCUCUGCAAAUGGCUAAAAAUAAAUGUAGCAAUUCAAGAAUAAGGAAGACAACAUGAUGUGCCCAAAGGGACACAACAGCUGAAUACUACAAUGUGAAGAAUGAAGAAUUGAAGAAAUGCCAGAAAUGAUUGGAAGUAAUCAGAAGCAAAUCCACAAAGAAAUCUGUACGUGACAUGAAAGAAAAGUUUUGCCAUGAAAUUGAGAUUUUUAUAGAGAAAUCAAAAUAAAAUAUUGGAAAUGAAGAAUUCAAUAGAACAAAUAAAAAAUGUGAUGGAAAGCCUUAACAGCAGACUUGGUGAGGCAGAAGAAAGACUAUCUGAGUUAGAAGACAAAUCUCUGGACAUUUUACAGUCCGAUAAAAAAAUAAGAAGUUAGAGAACUAAAAAACGAUGUUGGAGAUCUAUGGGAUGCUAUCAAACCACCCAAUAUAUGGGUCUUAGGAGGUCCUGAAGGCGUGGAAAGAGAGUAUACAUUAGAAGGCAUUUUUAGUAAAAUAAUCACAGAAAAACUUGCCUAAUUUGGAGAAAGGGAUGUCCAAGUACAGGAAGCACACAGUAUUCCUAAUAGACGUGAUCAGAAAAGAUCUUCACCAUGAUACAUUGUAAUCAAACUCUCCACAGUAAAUCAUAAAGAAAAGAUUCUAAAAUGUGCAUGAGAGAAAUGCCAGAUUGCUCUCAAAGGAUCUCCAAUUAGAUUCACAGCUGAUUUCUCAUCAGAAACCCUACAGGCUAGGAGAGAAUGAUGAGAUAUAUUUCAAGUCUUAAGAGGGAAAAAAAAACUGUCAAUCCAGAAUACUGUACCCUGUAAAGCUCUCAUUUAUGAAUGAAUGUGAAAUAAAUACCUUUCAUAACAAACAGAAAUUGAAAGAAUUUGUCACCACUCAUACAGCCUUACAUAUGAUGCUUAAGGAUGUGCUACACACAGAAACAUGGUCAUCACUUUGAAAGAAGGUGAAGGCAGAAAAUCUCCCAAUAAAGAUACAAAGGAAAUCUAAAAUAAACAUUAGUAAUAUUUAUGAAAAAACAGCAGGGCCAAGCUGUUACUUAUCAAUAGUAGCUAAAUGUAAAUGGUUUCAACUCUCCAGUUAAACCUUACAGACUGGCUGAAGGGAUUAAAAAACAAAAUCUUUAUUUGCUGCCUAUAAGAAACAGAUAUCCCCAACAAAGGUACACACAGACUGAAAGUGAAAGGAUGGAAAAAGAAUUUCCAUGCUAGCAGAAACCAAAAAAGAGCUGGUGUAGCCAUCUUUAUAUCAGUCAAAACAGACUUUAACACAACAUCUGUUAAAAGAGACAAAGAAGGACACUACAUAAGGGAUCAAUUCAAUAAGAAGAUGUGACUAUAAUAAAUACAUACACAACUAAUUACAGGGCACCUGGCUCUUUAAAAGAAAUGUUGAUGGAUCUAAAGGGAAACAUAGAUCCCCAUACAGUAAUAAUGGGGGACUUCAAUACCCCCACUUUCAGCAAUGGACAGAUCAACCAGACAGAAAAUCAGUGAGGAAACAGAAGAGUUAUUUGACCCAAUAGACCAAUGGACCUAAUGGAUAUCUAGAGAACUUUUCAUCCUACAGUUGCAGAAUACACAUUCUUCUCACCAGCACAUGGAACUUUCUCUAGGACAGACCACAGGCCAGGGCAUGAGCAACUCUCAGCAAUUUGAAGGAAUCUGAAUCAUAUCAUGCGUCCUCUCUGACCACAGUGGACUGCAGCUGGAGAUCAACAACUUGAGAGUCUUUAGAACAGUGGGUCAUAGAAGAAAUCAAACGAGAAAUCAAAAAACUGUUGAGAAACUUAUUUUUCCAUACUGUUUUUUGAAAUCUUGACUUAGUAUAGAGUUAAUCUUCUGCGUAUAAAAUUAACUGAAAACAGAUCUUGGAAAAAAAUAAGAAUGGGAAUAGGAGA